AGUGAACGCUGGCGGUAGGCCUAACACAUGCAAGUCGAACGGCAGCACAGUAAGAGCUUGCUCUUACGGGUGGCGAGUGGCGGACGGGUGAGGAAUACAUCGGAAUCUACUUUUUCGUGGGGGAUAACGUAGGGAAACUUACGCUAAUACCGCAUACGACCUACGGGUGAAAGCAGGGGAUCUUCGGACCUUGCGCGAUUGAAUGAGCCGAUGUCGGAUUAGCUAGUUGGCGGGGUAAAGGCCCACCAAGGCGACGAUCCGUAGCUGGUCUGAGAGGAUGAUCAGCCAAACUGGAACUGAGACACGGUCCAGACUCCUACGGGAGGCAGCAGUGGGGAAUAUUGGACAAUGGGCGCAAGCCUGAUCCAGCCAUACCGCGUGGGUGAAGAAGGCCUUCGGGUUGUAAAGCCCUUUUGUUGGGAAAGAAAAGCAGCAGGUUAAGACCCCGCUGUUCUGACGGUACCCAAAGAAUAAGCACCGGCUAACUUCGU
rnacentral:rRNA from 1 species